UAAUAUUUUAUUCACAAUGAGCCAUUCAAUGGAAUCUGCAAUUCAGAUUGAAAAGUGGACGAAGGAAGAAGUUCAUCAGUGGUUGACGACGCAGGUUAACAUUCACCAUAUAUAUGCAGACAAGUUGCUAGAAGAGGAGGUAUCAGGGGAAGACCUAGAAUACUUCCAAAAGAAGGAUCUUCUGGAUCUGAACAUAAAACAUGGUCCGGCUGUGAAAAUUGUGUCAAUGCUUGAGGAUUUGAAGAGUGGAUUACAGCAUAAAUCACAAUUUCCUGCAUACGUCAAGAAAUGGACACCAGAACAAGUUUGUCAGUGGUUAAGGGAAGAGGCGAAGGUAUACCACCAAUAUGUAGACCGUAUUUUGGAAGAGGAAGUGUCAGGCGAUUGCCUGUUUUGCUUCAAAAAGAAUGAUCUUGUGGAACUAGGCAUUAAACAUGGUCCUGCUGUUAAAAUAAUUGGCAUGCUAGAAAAGUUAAACAAUGGACCAGAGCCUAUAUUACAACCCCCCACACACAUCAACGGUGACCAAGAAAAUCUACAGAAAACACCUGAGAAGCAAGUAGAACUAUGUCAAGUUCUACCAGUUCAGACUGUAUCCCCCAUGAAGACAGAACCAAACACGGAAGAGCUCAAAAUAGUGGAAACAUCAGGGAAAACGGUUACACGAAAGAAGGAAGAACCAAAACCACAGGCCAUGGUUGCAGAAAAGUUACCGUCCAAGAUCUCAAGCACGCCAAGUUCCCUUACCUUGCUCCAGAAUACCCUUGAUGACUUACAUCAGGACGAGUUUAAACGCUUUAAGUCUUCUCUGAAAGACCUAAAACUGAAUGGAUAUAGACCGAUUGCACGGAGUCACUUGGAAGACAGCAAGACCCGCACAGAAGUAGCGGACUCGAUGACAAAGCACUAUGAGGAAGAGACAUUGAAUGUCACUCUUCAGAUUCUAGGGAGAAUCGAACACAAUGAACUGGCUGCCCGUCUGAAAAGGGAUAUGGGUAAGUGAAACAAUAUUCAAAUGAGUCUUUGAAUCUCAAUCACAGCCAAUUAACAUUGGACCUGUAUUAAUACAAUAUAACUGUUUUUAGGUUAAAAAGUAAUAAUUGUCAAUUUGUCACAAACAAGACCAUCAGUAAUAUUUGUUAGGAUCACCAGUAAUUGAUUUAGUUUUGUAA
ensembl:lncRNA